rnacentral:rRNA from 1 species
GAUGAACGCUGGCGGCGUGCCUAAUACAUGCAAGUCGAGCGAACGGACGAGAAGCUUGCUUUUCUGAUGUUAGCGGCGGACGGGUGAGUAACACGUGGAUAACCUACCUAUAAGACUGGGAUAACUUCGGGAAACCGGAGCUAAUACCGGAUAAUAUUUUGAACCGCAUGGUUCAAAAGUGAAAGACGGUCUUGCUGUCACUUAUAGAUGGAUCCGCGCUGCAUUAGCUAGUUGGUAAGGUAACGGCUUACCAAGGCAACGAUGCAUAGCCGACCUGAGAGGGUGAUGGGCACAACGGGACCUGAGAACCGGUCAAGACCCCUAGGGGAGGAAGCGGUAGGGAACCUCCGGCAAUGGCCGAAAGCCUGCGGGAGAACGGCCGGGUGAGUGAUGAAGGUCUUCGGUUCGUAAACUCCUGUUAUAAGGAAGAACAUAUGUGUAAGUAACUGUGCACAUCUUGACGGUACCUAAUCAGAAAGCCACGGCUAACUACGCG